ACGGUCACAUCGCAUUAAAAGCUCUGUUCCCGUACGAUCAACAAAGUUAAGCAACGUCGAGUCUGGUUCGUACCUAGAUGGGUGACCGCCUGCGAAUACCACGUACUGUAA